GGGGCCUCCAUAGAGGAGGGAUUUGUGGAGAAGGGAAUCUUCAUGAAGUGCUAUAGUAAACACUUCAUAUAUUAACUCUGUGAAGAAAGCAUCUCCUGGCAGGCAAGCUUACAAAAUGUGUGCAGUUAGUGGCGGGGUCGUCCAGGGCCUGUCUGCGGCUCCAUCAGGGUGCCCCAUUUCCUGGCUCUUACGGGGGCCAUAAAAGCCAGCUCCUGACUGAUCGUUGACAUACGAGGUGACAGGCAAGGAAAUGGUUUCCUUUGGCCACAUGUGUGUAUCCUAAUUUACAGCUCCUCUGGAAUUAGCAAGGGCAGAUGCUAUUGAACAAUUAUGGACUUCCAAUGGCUUCUUCAUAAAGGAGAACACUUGGUUUUGAAAAGAAAAUCAUGGUGAAUUCAAUACAAAAAAGUAACAUCUUUUUAUCAUUGUCGUUAUUAUUGAAUAUAUGUAAGCACUCUUUAAAUUAACUGGAUUUUCUUUUGUUUUUGUUUGUUUGUUUGUUUUUUAGACAGAGUCUUGCUGUCACCCAGGCUGAAGGGCUGGAGUGCAAUAGCGUGAUCUCGGCUCACUGCAACCUCUGCCUCUGGGGUUCCAGCAAUUCUUCCUGCCUCAGCCUCCCAAGUAGCUGGGAUUACAGGCACCCACCACCACACCCAGCUAAUUUUUCUGUAUUUUUAGUAGAGACGGGGUUCCACCACGUUGGCCAGUCUGGUCUCAAACUCCUGACCUCAGGUGAUCCACCCACCUUGGCCUCCUAAACUGCAGGGAUAAAGACAUGAGCCAUCGCACCCAGCCAAGAGAGAUUUAUCUCUUGCCAAGCUCAUUGUCUUGUUGGAUCCUGACAUCGCUCAUAGAUGGGAAAAUGGAGGCCCAGUGAGGGUUAAGUGAUGUCUCUUCAAGGCCACAAAAAGUUAUUCCUAAAUCCUAGUUUCCUAACUCCUAGUCAAUAGCUCUUUACAUGACAUGAUGUUGAUGAAGCGUCCAGCCCAGUGCCUGGCACUAGCAGCAGAAGCCCAGUGAUUAUUCAUUUACCCUGCUUCCAAACUUCCUCUUUUCUACUUUUCUACUAAAGAGAUACUCAUAGAUUGAAGGAUAAGGUGUAACUCCCCCCAUCGGUCUACCUGCUUUUCCCACUUUGUGGAGAUACGUGCUUUUCUUUGAGUCCCAAGUGGAAUGCUCUAAACAUGUGUUCUUAAUAAAAUACAGAGACCAACUAAAAUGUAGAAGGUUGUCAAGUCUCAGAUCCAUAAGGUCGGCAAAAGAAUCCCCUCUUAGCCUUCUAACUCAGGCUUGUCACUGAGUCUGUGACCCCAGACCUGUCCCCAUGUCUUUCUUUUCCACAUGGCUUUACGGUUACCACGCGUUUUGGGAGUGCUCACAUUUGAACAGAGGGAUAGGGAGAAAUAUCAAACAGGAUGGAGCUAUGAGCUUCCACAAGAAGAGUAGAAACAGAGGAUGGGAGUGUCCGUGCAGACCACAGGUUGUACAUUCUGGUGAAGGAGAUGAGGCAAGAAAGAAGUCCAUAAAUUCUCAGACAAUAAGGUCUGGGAAAUAAAUUCUUUGGAUGACAAUAGGGAGGUGGUGAAAUUUAUGAGUAUGAUUACAUAGUGCUGGAUUUGUACUGUUUAGACUGGAAAGUCAACAACAAUACAGUGCUUGGGGUAUUCUCCAUAUGAUCAUUUUCCUUCCAUUAGGCAUAGAAUUUUAAAAUUAUUUCCAAAAUACAUUCUGACUUUGUAUUAUGUACAUAUUUGUUUCAGUGCGGGGGAGGGGGAGCAGGGGAGGAAGGAUGAUGCCCAGUGCCCACCAAUACUGAUCCUAAAGAGAUUAUUCUCUAAGUAAAUGCCUUCCGAAGGCCUACCUGAUGAAUGAAAAGAUGCACCUUAGGAUGGGUUGCCGGAUGUUACAACGGACUAUGGAAGAAAUAUUAAUAGUCUUUUUUUUUUUAAUGGCAGAGGAAGAACUAUGAAUGGCUUAAGUCAAACAGGAAGGGGAAAUAAAUGCAAAUUGCUAGUAUCCCAAGUAUAGGAAAAGAAGCUAAGGUACUUCCAAAGGAUUUCAACAUCAAGGGUUGAAACAAAAGCUUUGCCUUCUGCUAACCAGAACACUAAUUAACCAGAUCGGGCUUCUCCCUGACAUUCAUCUAUUUGCAGACUCUGAAUCCUUAGUCUCCUUUUAUCCAGCAAGUUCCCCAACUAUGAUUACCUCCAAUAUAUGAGCUCAUUUCUCUGCACUUAUUCCCAAAUGGUUGACAUCGAUUUGCAACGUUAAUGAACUCCCCUUUACAAUCAGUUUUUCCCACUUUAUAAAAUGCAGUAGAUAUGAAGAUCGACUGCCCAGCCAUCCCUCAACAAAGGACUUGCUGCCUGUAGUGGGGUAAAUGAUGACCCCAAAAAGAUACAUCCACCCUAAACCUCAGAAUGUUACCUGAACGUAGCAAGUUUUCUUAUCAGUGAGAUGUUUUCAGAACAUCUUCUUCAGAGAGAUGUUCUGAAAGAAAAAAAUUAACCAAGAUCAGUUGACUUUGAGUACAAUCAUCUCCAUCUGUGUGAAAGGCAAUGCAGUGGGUGGAAAAUGCUCUUCCCUGGGAAUCAAAAUUCUCAUGAGUUAAUGUCUCUAAACCUUAUGAUAAAAUGAGGGGUUUGGCCCAUAUGACCUUAGGGGCUUUUGUUCUCUAAAAUGCUGUGAUUUGGUCUUGAGACACUGAGCUGCAUGAGAGUAGAAUAGUGGAAAUGGUACUGGCCUGAGAGUUCAGAGCAUGGCUUUGCAUUUUCAUUCUCCUGGCCAGCUAUGUGGCCUUGGACAGGUCACUUCCCCUUCCUGGGCCUUCCUUUCCUCCUCUGCACCAAUGAGUGUGACUGAGGCAGCUAACAUGUCAGCAUGGUGAGUAAUGGCUCUUGGGAUGGUCACUUUUAUGUGUCAACCUGGCUAUGCUAUGGUACUCAGUUACGUAAUUAAACAGUAAUCUAGGUGUUGCCGGGAAGGCUAUUUCGCAGAUGUGGUUGACAUCUAUCAUAAGUUGGCUUCAAGUAAAGGAGAUUACCCUCAAAAUUGGCCAGGCCUUGUCCAAUCAGUUGGAAGUUCCUAAGAACACAAACUGUGGUUUGCAGAAGAAAAAAUUCUGCCUUGAGUCUGCAGCAUUAACUCCUGCCAGAGUUUCUGACUUGCCAGCCUGCCCUAUGGAUUUUGGACCUGCCAGCCCCCACAAUUGUGUGAGCCAAUUCCUUAAAAUAAAUCUCUUUAUAUAAAUA
rnacentral:lncRNA from 1 species